rnacentral:rRNA from 1 species
GGGGGCCCGCAAGCGGUGGAGCAUGUGGUUUAAUUCGAUGCAACGCGAAGAACCUUACCUACUCUUGACACCCAGAGAAUUUAGCAGAGAUGCUUUAGUGCCUUCGGGAACUCUGAGACAGGUGCUGCAUGGCUGUCGUCAGCUCGUGUUGUGAAAUGUUGGGUUAAGUCCCGCAACGAGCGCAACCCUUAUCCUUUGUUGCCAGCACGUAAUGGUGGGAACUCAAAGGAGACUGCCGGUGAUAAACCGGAGGAAGGUGGGGAUGACGUCAAGUCAUCAUGGCCCUUACGAGUAGGGCUACACACGUGCUACAAUGGCGCAUACAAAGAGAAGCGACCUCGCGAGAGCAAGCGGACCUCAUAAAGUGCGUCGUAGUCCGGAUUGGAGUCUGCAACUCGACUCCAUGAAGUCGGAAUCGCUAGUAAUCGUAAAUCAGAAUGUUACGGUGAAUACGUUCCCGGGCCUUGUACACACC